GACGAACCGUGCGAACGUUGUUCGGAAUUACUGGGCGUAAAGGGCGCGUAGGCGGCUUAUCAAGUCAGGCGUGAAAUUCCCGGGCUCAACCUGGGGGCUGCGCUUGAUACUGAUGAGCUUGAAUGCGGGAGAGGAUAGUGGAAUUCCCAGUGUAGAGGUGAAAAUUCGUAGAUAUUGGGAAGAACACCGGUGGCGAAGGCGGCUAUCUGGCCCGUAAUUGGCGCUGAGGCGCGAAAGCGUGGGGAGCAAACAGG
rnacentral:rRNA from 1 species